rnacentral:tRNA from 1 species
UAAAAAGUACCUUAUAAUUAUAAAGGGUAGCUAUGAUAAAGCUAAUAAAGUUUAACUCUUUUUAA